AGUGAACGCUGGCGGUAGGCCUAACACAUGCAAGUCGAAUGGAAGCACAGUAAGAGUUUGCUCUUACGGGUGGCGAGUGGCGGACGGGUGAGGAAUACAUCGGCAUCUACUUUUUCGUGGGGGAUAACGUAGGGAAACUUACGAUACUACCGCAUACGACCUACGGGUGAAAGCAGGGGAUCUUAGGACCUUGCGCGAUUGAAUGAGCCGAUGCCGGAUUAGCUAGUUGGCGUGGUAAAGGCCCACCAAGGCGACGAUCCGUAGCUGGUCUGAGAGGAUGAUCAGCCACACUGGAACUGAGACACGGUCCAGACUCCUACGGGAGGCAGCAGUAGGGAAUAUUCGGCAAUGGGCGCAAGCUUGAUCCAGCCAUACCGCGUGAGUGAAGAAGGCCUUCGGGUUGUAAAGCCCUUUUGUUGGGAAAGAAAAGCAGCAUGUUAAUACCCCGCUGUUCUGACGGUACCCAAAGAAUAAGCACCGGCUAACUUCGUG
rnacentral:rRNA from 1 species